AACAGCCUGGUCCAGUGGCUAGAGCACUAGACUCAAAAUCAAGAGACUUGGGUUCCAACCCCAGGUCUGCUG
rnacentral:tRNA from 1 species